AUACGUAGGUGGCAAGCGUUGUCCGGAUUUAUUGGGCGUAAAGCGAGCGCAGGCGGUUCUUUAAGUCUGAUGUGGAAACCCCCGGCUCAACCGGGGAGGGUCAUUGGAAACUGGAGAAAUUGAGUGCAGAAGAGGGGGGUGGAAUUCCACGGGUAGCGGUGAAAUGCGUAGAUAUAUGGAGGAACACCAGUGGCGAAGGCGGCUCUCUGGUCUGUAACUGACGCUGAGGCUCGAAAGCGUGGGGAGCAAACAGGAUUAGAUACCGUGGUAGUCCACGCCGUAAACGAUGAGUGCUAAGUGUUGGAGGGUUUCCGCCCUUCAGUGCUGCAGCUAACGCAUUAAGCACUCCGCCUGGGGAGUACGGCCGCAAGGCUGAAACUCAAAUGAAUUGGCGGGG
rnacentral:rRNA from 1 species